AUUGAACGCUGGCGGCAGGCUUAACACAUGCAAGUCGAGCGGUAGCACAAGAGAGCUUGCUCUCUGGGUGACGAGCGGCGGACGGGUGAGUAAUGUCUGGGAAACUGCCUGAUGGAGGGGGAUAACUACUGGAAACGGUAGCUAAUACCGCAUAACGUCGCAAGACCAAAGAGGGGGACCUUCGGGCCUCUUGCCAUCAGAUGUGCCCAGAUGGGAUUAGCUAGUAGGUGGGGUAAUGGCUCACCUAGGCGACGAUCCCUAGCUGGUCUGAGAGGAUGACCAGCCACACUGGAACUGAGACACGGUCCAGACUCCUACGGGAGGCAGCAGUGGGGAAUAUUGCACAAUGGGCGCAAGCCUGAUGCAGCCAUGCCGCGGGUGUGAAGAAGGCCUUCGGGUUGUAAAGCACUGUCAGCGAGGAGGAAGGUGGUGAACUUAAUACGUUCAUCAAUUGACGUUACUCGCAGAAGAAGCACCGGCUAACUCCGUG
rnacentral:rRNA from 1 species